rnacentral:rRNA from 1 species
UGCCCCCUGAUUUUAAAUUAAAGGGCUGCAGUAUUUUGACUGUACAAAGGUAGCAUAAUCAUUAGUCAUUUAAUUGAUGACUUGUAUGAAAGAUUGGAUGAGAUAUUAUCUGUCUUAAUAAUAAAUUGUAGAAUUUAAUUUUUUAGUUAAAAAGCUAAAAUAAUUUAAAAAGACGAGAAGACCCUAUAGAGUUUAAUUAAAUUAUAAAAUUUAUUAAUUUAUAUAAAUUUAUGUUAGGAAUUUUAUUUUUAAUUUUAUUGGGGUGAUAGAAAAAUUAAAUUAACUUUUUUUUAAUAUUAACAUAUAUAAAUGAUUAUUUGAUCCAAUUUUAUUGAUUAAAAGAAAAAAUUACCUUAGGGAUAACAGCGUAAUUUUUUUUUUUAGUUCAUAUAAAAAAAAAAGUUUGCGACCUCGAUGUUGGAUUAAGAUAAAAUUUAAAUGUAGAAGUUUAAAGUUUUGA